GUGGGCCUUGUAUCUAGAGAAACAUCAAGUACUUUGAUAGGAGGAAUAUUAGAUCCACGACAUGCCAAAGCUCCAUUAACCAAAGAUGGGCCUUCUGCCUUCUGAAUGAUUGAUGUACUUUUAUUUUUCUUCUUAUAGAUAUCUUUUUGCAGCUUCUAUAAUCAAGUUUAUUAAUAAAAUGAAUUUAGAUCAAAGUUUUUCAUUUCACCUACACUUUUUUACUUUGGUGACUUUGUGUUCGUAUAGUAUUCAU
rnacentral:lncRNA from 1 species